GGUGGAAAGCAUGCUGCCCAGGUUUGCUGAUGUUACUAAGAUGUGGGGCGAGGUGAACACACUUGAAGGGAGAGAGAGGCUGCAACUAGAUUAAGACAGACUACAAAAGUGGGCAGA